UACGAAGGGGGCUAGCGUUGCUCGGAAUCAUUGGGCGUAAAGCGCACGUAGGCGGAUUGUUAAGUCAGGGGUGAAAUCCUGGAGCUCAACUCCAGAACUGCCUUUGAUACUGGCGAUCUUGAGUCCGGGAGAGGUGAGUGGAACUGCGAGUGUAGAGGUGAAAUUCGUAGAUAUUCGCAAGAACACCAGUGGCGAAGGCGGCUCACUGGCCCGGUACUGACGCUGAGGUGCGAAAGCGUGGGGAGCAAACAGG
rnacentral:rRNA from 1 species